UGGAAACUGAACAAGAAAUGCAUCUGUCUUAGAAACUGGAGAUUAUUUGAUGUUAGGUAAAACAUGUAAUUGUUUCUCUGGCAAAUUUGUAUCAGUAAUUUGAAAAUGAGAUAUUAGGAAAAACCAAUUCUUCUUAAAUUUAGUUCAUCUUUCCUUAAAAGAACAUUAAAUGUAACCAUUUUGUCAGAUCCAUGUAUUUUGGAGCAUAAAAUGUAUGCUGUUGUGACCAAUAAAUAUAAAAUAUGGUAAUUGGAAUUAACCCCACACCAUAGUAUGCAUUGUUAUACAUACUGUGUACCUAAUUAUGUAUAGCAGUGUAGUCUCAAUUAUAUCUAAAAGUAAUUGUGACUAACAAGUAUGCUUUGCCUUAUUUCCACAUUUAAAGUACCUGUUAAUAUAAGGGAUUUGUAGUAUCAGCUUGUUGAGCAAUGACUUUGAAUCUAGUUUUCAGUGAUCAGAAGCAGCAUUUAUUUGAGUGUAUGAAUGGAAUGAUGAUCACUGUGCUAUAAUGUACUGAAACCACCAUAUUACAGAAAUAUUUACUACAUAUUUUCCAUCUGUAGUUUCUCAGAAGGGCUAUGGAUUAGUUUGAACUGUCAAAUCCUUGCAUACUUCUGUGACACCCCUGCCCAUUUUCUGUCUUUAAUUAACCAAGGUGUUAGGUGUUACUGUCACAACUGUUAUGUUUUCCAGUAAACUAGAAGUACGAUAUUUG
rnacentral:lncRNA from 1 species